rnacentral:rRNA from 1 species
GACGAACGCUGGCGGCGCGCUUAACACAUGCAAGUCGAGCGAGAUCCAGGCCUUCGGGCCUGGGGACAGCGGCGAACGGGUGAGUAACACGUGGGUAAUCAACCCUCGACACUGGGAUAGCCCGGGGAAACCCGGAUUAAUACCGGAUGGCCCUUUGGAUCUUCGGAUCUGACGGGAAAGGUAGCUUCGGCCUCCGGUCGAGGACGAGCCCGCGGCGGAUUAGCUUGUUGGUGGGGUAACGGCUCACCAAGGCGACGAUCCGUAGCUGGUCUGAGAGGACGAUCACCCACACUGGGACUGAGACACGGACCAGACUCCUACGGGAGGCAGCAGUGGGGAAUCUUGCGCUAAUGCGGGCAACCGUGACGCAGCGACGCCGCGUGAGGGAAGAAGGCCUUCGGGUUGUAAACCUCUUUCAGGAGGGACGAAGCCACUCGGGUGAAUAGCCCAGAGGGUGACGGUACCUCCAGAAGAAGCCCCGGCUAACUACGUGCCAGCCGCCGCGGUAAGAC